rnacentral:rRNA from 1 species
UACGGGGGGGGCAAGCGUUGUUCGGAAUUACUGGGCGUAAAGGGCGUGUAGGCGGCCUGGCAAGUGGAAGGUGAAAUCCCUCGGCUUAACCGAGGAACUGCCCUCCAAACUGCUUGGCUUGAGUCCGGGAGAGGUGAGUGGAAUUCCCAGUGUAGCGGUGAAAUGCGUAGAUAUUGGGAGGAACACCAGUGGCGAAGGCGGCUCACUGGACCGGAACUGACGCUGAGGCGCGAAAGCGUGGGGAGCAAACGGG